rnacentral:lncRNA from 1 species
ACCACCAAAGAGAAUAAGCCUGGGACCAAUGUAAUUGGGGCUACCCUCCUCUCCAACCGCCGGUACAGCCGUUAAGGUAUGUCCACACCUCGGCCCUGGACCAUCCUCCUUCUUCUCUAGAACAGCGUGCACCACCGAGUACGUCGGAGCACACCUCGGCCCCGUCACCGGAGUACUGCCCUGCUGCUGCUGAGAAGUUGCCGGAUGCUGCUGAUCCUGAGGAGUCUCCGGCGGAGAUCCUCCAGCCGAUGACUGGCCGUUUAGCUGCUCCGACGACGCGCCGUUAUUCUGAUCGUGAUCGGAUUCCGAUGACAUCGCUGAAUCCACGUCCAUAUCCCCCACCUCCAAACCCUAGAUUCUUAAGCUUGUCGGAGCUCCAAUUCUCAACCAUGCGCAUUUCGGAUCAACAUUUCCAAUCCAGUUCAGACCCCAAAUGUCGAAAAUUACAAAUUCAGAUCCUCUGUUUCAAAAACAUCCAAAUUUUAGGAGAAAAUUACAGACCAAAAGAGAGAGAAGUCUAAGUUUUUCUUCUCUCUUCUUCUUCUUCUGAAGAAACUUCAAGGCGGUCGAGGAAUAACAAUCCAAACAGUUCCUCUCUCUAAAACGCUCUUCUUCUCUGUCCAAUCCUCGAUCACUCGUUCUCUCUCUCUCUACGAAUAUUUAAAUGUAUGUAUAGGCGCACAUUUAGGUAUAUCUAUCUGUAUCUAUAGAUUUAUACGUAUUUUUCUGCACAUAAAGUAUCUCUGUCUCUCUCAUCUGUCUAAGGGCUAUGAAGAAAUCUGACUACACUGGACUUUAUUUUUACCUCUCAGGGUACAAGUCCUGAAGCGAGAUUUACACUGUGUUUAUGCAGAUCGUGCAGAUAUUACAGCAUGUGGUACAGCAGCUUUAACGGUGAUAACCGGUUCCGAUUUCAACGGGAAGGGUUCCCUCGUUGAUUGGGUGAAAAUGAAGGAUUUAAUGAGACGCGCAUGAGCGGCGCG